GAUGAAGAACGCAGCGAAAUGCGAUAAGUAAUGUGAAUUGCAGAAUUCAGUGAAUCAUCGAAUCUUUGAACGCACAUUGCGCCCGCCAGUAUUCUGGCGGGCAUGCCUGUUCGAGCGUCAUUUCAACCAUCAAGCCCCCGGCUUGUGUUGGGGACCUGCGGCUGCCGCAGGCCCUGAAAACCAGUGGCGGGCUCGCUAGUCACUCCGAGCGUAGUAAUACAUCUCGCUCAGGGCGUGCUGCGGGUUCCGGCCGUUAAAAAGCCUUAUUUACCCAAGGUUGACCUCGGAUCAGGUAGGAAGACCCGCUGGACUUAAGCAUAUCAAUAAGCGGAGGA
rnacentral:misc_RNA from 1 species